ACUGGAUCAGCAGCCUUCAGUUGGAGGAACACAGCCAGCUCCUGGUGACCCCACAGGGAGAGAGCGGGAGCACUAAGGAUUCCAAACUCAGUCCUCCUGAUCUUCAUCAGUAUUCGUCAUUGGCCAAACAAAUAACUGAAAUUCAGAGGGCAAGAGAGCUCAUUGUUAUCUAAACAGGUCAGCAUGGCAGACAGCGAGGCGAAGAGGGAAGGAAGGUGGAUUUGGAAGAACAAACGGGAGUGACCUAGUGCAGCCCUGAUAAACCCGCUGGGAGCUACCAGAGUAUUUGACCUUGGGCACAGCUGGGGUGGCCCCGAUGGCGCUGCUGUCUGCUGAUGGUCUCCACAGCUUCCCCAGCGAGGCCUUCCUGGAAGGAGUGCUGAGCAGCAAAGCUCUGUGGUCACCACUCAGGACAAAGGGGAACCAGCUGAACAGAGCCUUUCAUGUGACAACAAAAAACGACCUGGCUCAAACAUCACGACAGGCAUCUGUGGAGCCUGGGAAAUGACCUUUCUCAUGGGGAGAACACAGAACACACAAAGCUUUCUCUUAAAAGUCUACAAAAUUAUAAUCUGAUAACAACAGAACGUUUUGGUAUUUUGAGUAAUAGGUGUCACAUCGGAAUUGAUAUUUGCCAAAUUUGGCAUGAUAAUUGAAUGCUUUUUGCUUAUUUAUAUUUCAUAUUUUAGUUGUUUUCUAAUAACCAAAAACAUUUGUGUAUUUUUAAUAAUAGUAGAGGUAAAUGAAAUUUUACAUGUCAGUAAAAAAACUGAAAGAUGAUGCUUGUAAUUUCAAGUCGAUUAAAGAAAAUUAUUAAUAAAACAAUAAAAUACAAAUUAUACAUUUUAUAUUGUGAUACUUAAAGUAGAUGACCUGGUUUAUCCCUGAAGAGAAAGCAUGGAUGCAUAAACCAGACCAUAUUGUAAAUAUUUCAAAUUCAUUGGUAAACAUUGUUUUAAGAAGGUGAUUAGCAAAUAUUGUUUCAAGAAGGUGAUUAAGAAGGUGAUGCAAAAUUUGGAGUACUUUCUGUUUUGUAUUUUUCGUGACUAUUUGUGAGCACUUGGUGCUUAAGACACACUCAAAGAGGUACUGACAAUUUAUCAUAUUCUAAAGCAAUAAAACAGGUUGAAAAUAUCUAAUCAGCUUCCUGGCUAAUCAAGUAAAUGUUACAGAAAUGGGUCAAUAAGACGGUUAGAAAACCCAGCAACUCCCUAGUAUAGACCUCUUCCUUGAGCUCCAAAUCAGAUAGCUUUAUCCAUCUCUCUGAAAAGCAUCUCCAAUUUGAAACCUCUUUCUAUUUCACCUGCUUCACCUGACAGGACCUACCUCCCCAUCACCCACAGAUCCACUGGCCCAGGUGUGUGUACCUAGUCCACCCAAUCGCCAAAGCCAGGAACCUGGGGGCAGCCCAGGCUCCUUCCCCCUUCUCAUAAUAUUCAACUGGCCACCAGAUUCUGCCUUUUGACAUUGCUCUGACCCCACCUCGCCUCUGCAUGCCCUCCGACACUGCUUUAGCUCAGGACCCUGUCUCCCAGCUUCCUGGAGCAGGUGCCUCUCCCCUGGUCUCCCCACCUCCAGAGUUACCACUGUCUAUGGCAGUGGCUUUCAAAGCCAUUCCUGGACCAGCAGUAGCAGCUAGAAAUGCGUUAGGAAUGCAAAUCCUCAAGCCCCAUCCCAGACUUUCAGAAUUGGAAACUCUGGGGGUGGGUCUGGCAAUGGUGUUUGAGGGAGCUCUCGGGAGGCACUGAUAGAGUAAAGGCCAUUAGAGUGGGCUCUAGUUCAAUAUGACUGAUAUCCUUAUAAAAAGAAGAAAUUUGGACAGAGUCGUACAAAGAAGGAAGAAAAUGUGAGGAGACACAGGGAGAAAAUGACUGUCUACAAGCUAAGGAGAGAGGCCUGGAACAGACCUUUCCUUCACAGCCAACAGAAGGAACCAGCUUUGCCGACACCUUGAUCUUGGACUUCCAGCUUCCAGACUGUGAGACCAUCGGUGUCUGUUAUUGGAGCCACCCAGCUCAUGACACUUUGUUACAGUAGCCCUAGGGAACUAACAGAGUAGUGAAAAGCAAGAAUUCUCCAAUGAUGGAUCCCUCAGCUUUGGCAUUAACUAGCAUUGUGACUAUGAGCAAGUUACUUUAUUUUUCUGUGCUUUGGUUUUGUCAUCUGUAAGAUGGGGCUGUAUGUACCUCAUAAACUUGCUAAAAAGAUUAAAUGAGUUGAU
rnacentral:lncRNA from 1 species